rnacentral:sRNA from 1 species
AAGGCGGCGUCGCGGAGCAGAGACGGUGAAGGUUUUUUUUUCGUAAAACCCUAAAAUGUUAGAGAAAUGAUUUGCUGUAAAUGUAUAUAAGAAAAAAUAGUAUUCAAAAAGAUCUAAAUCCACGUGUCAUGACAGUAAUAGACUAAAUUAUGCCGUUAAUAAAGAUUCUUAGCCCCUAUAAAUAUUUCUUUUUCUUAUCAACCUCUCAAUAACUCAAAAAUAUUAUCAAUCUCGUACUAUUUUUAUUAAUUGUAAAUUUGUUAAAUAAAUGGAGAUUUUUUUUAACUACAAGUCUACAAGCAUGAGUGGUAAUCUAAAAUGGUACAAUUUUUUAAUAAUACAAAAAAAUUAAUGGUUAUGAAAUAAUACAAAUAUGUAAAAAAAAAUGAAGAGAAGCGAAAUAAAAUAUAACCAGAAUGGGAGAAAAAGUAUUAUACAUCGCUUUCAAAGUUAAUAUUUUUAUUUUAUUAUCUGAAGAAGUGACUCGAAAUAUAAUAAUUGCCGCCGAUGAGAUCUGUUCUCUUGUUUCAAUUGUUGUUCCAUGGUGUUUUGCUCUACUGUGAUGUCUUUUCUCCUGUCCAAGUUGUAGUUCUCUAACUUUCCUUUGUCACUUUUUUCUGGAGCCGUCCAACUUGACUCGUCCACCGGAGCCUCCAGACCCACCGGAUCUGCCAGAUUCAUUGCCACCACCACCCAUCACCCAUAUUCCUCCGAGAUCUAUAGCUGUCACUUUUUUGGUCCUUUUACCUCCUUCUCCGAUGAGUAUCCCAGAGAUUGAAGAUGUGCCCACCACCUCCAUGCCUGGCUCCGCCUUCUUGCCUAUCUUUUCCGGCGAUGGCUUGUUUGCUGCUAUGCUCACCAAUCGUGCCGUCAUGAUUUUUGAGCUGGGCCAAUGUUUAUGGCUUCCUUUGUACCUCGAGACCCAUUAUAUUUGGACCAUGAGUCAUGUCAUGGUAACGUUUGCUCUUUGCUUCUAUUACUUUUACCGGUUAUCUUUGUGAUUUUAACGAGUCUUCUUUGUUACUUUCCUACAAUUUGGAGAGAUUUUUCUCCUUUUUUGGAGAAACUUUCCUCAUAUAUGAGAUGUUCUUCCUCAUAUAUUGAGAGACCAAUUCUUCUUUCCUCCUCUUCGAAGGAGAGACUUUUUUCAUCAAUCCUCUCCUUUAGGGAAAAUGUUUCUAAACGCUUAACCCUAGUGGCAUCAAGCUUUAUUGUUGUUCGUCAGCCUUCGAUGGCAGAAGAACUACCAGCACUCUCGUCUUUAUUUGAAGACCAAGAGUCGACGAUCGUCUUCAAACCGAUCGCUUAUGGAAUCCUCUCGAAGGAGUUUCCGGUUAUCAUCCAUGAUGUUAAUCUACUCUCUUAUUACUUUCAUGUUUCCCCUUCCUUUAUUUUUCUAUUUUAAACUUUCAACAAGUGAGUUAUGUGGCAAAGCUUCAAGUUGUUAUAAUCGCAAGUUAACUUAAUAUCAGUUGUUUGACAAAAAAAAAACUGUAAAACGAUAAAAACUUGGCAUCGGUAAAACUUUAUCUCCUUUUAAAAUGUCCCAGCGAAGCAAACUA